rnacentral:rRNA from 1 species
CAGCGAAACUGCGAAUGGCUCAUUAUAUAAGUUAUCGUUUAUUUGAUAGUACCUUACUACUUGGAUAACCGUGGUAAUUCUAGAGCUAAUACAUGCUAAAAAUCCCGACUUCGGAAGGGAUGUAUUUAUUAGAUUAAAAACCAAUGCCCUCUGGGCUCCUUGGUGAUUCAUGAUAACUCUUCGAAUCGCACGGCCUUGCGCCGGCGAUGGUUCAUUCAAAUUUCUUCCCUAUCAACUUUCGAUGUUUGGGUAUUGGCCAAACAUGGUUGCAACGGGUAACGGAGGGUUAGGGCUCGACCCCGGAGAAGGAGCCUGAGAAACGGCUACUACAUCCAAGGAAGGCAGCAGGCGCGCAAAUUACCCAAUCCCGAUUCGGGGAGGUAGUGACAAUAAAUACUGAUACAGGGCUCUUUUGGGUCUUGUAAUUGGAAUGAGUACAAUUUAAAUCUCUUAACGAGGAACAAUUGGAGGGCAAGUCUGGUGCCAGCAGCCGCGGUAAUUCCAGCUCCAAUAGCGUAUAUUAAAGUUGUUGUGGUUAAAAAGCUCGUAGUUGAACCUUGGGCCUGGCUGGCCGGUCCGCCUCACCGCGUGCACUGGUCCGGCCGGGCCUUUCCCUCUGUGGAACCCCAUGCCCUUCACUGGGCGUGGCGGGGAAACAGGACGUUUACUUUGAAAAAAUUAGAGUGCUCCAGGCAGGCCUAUGCUCGAAUACAUUAGCAUGGAAUAAUGAAAUAGGACGCGUGGUUCUAUUUUGUUGGUUUCUAGGACCGCCGUAAUGAUUAAUAGGGACAGUCGGGGGCAUCAGUAUUCAAUUGUCAGAGGUGAAAUUCUUGGAUUUAUUGAAGACUAACUACUGCGAAAGCAUUUGCCAAGGAUGUUUUCAUUAAUCAGGAACGAAAGUUAGGGGAUCGAAGACGAUCAGAUACCGUCGUAGUCUUAACCAUAAACUAUGCCGACUAGGGAUCGGACGAUGUUAUUUUUUGACGCGUUCGGCACCUUACGAGAAAUCAAA